UCUCCUGGUCGAUUGAAAAGAAGCCGGGUCAAGCUGGAGUAAGAAAACGAUUGAUCUUCAGCUGGAGGGUGGACAAUAUUUCCUGAGUGAUACAAAACAAGGCAGCAAAGAAAUGGCAAGGGAAAUAGACAAGCAAUCAGUGUAUCACCUAGACGAGAACCAUUUGCCAUAGCUGAAAUCUGUGAUUCCUGUAACUUAAACACAGUCGCCUUACGGAAGCCCAUAACAAGUUUCCAAUAGAUAUAUGCAACUUCGCUCAUCCA